rnacentral:rRNA from 1 species
GACGUAGGGGGCAAGCGUUAUCCGGAUUCACUGGGCGUAAAGGGCGCGUAGGCGGCUACGUAAGUCGGUUGUGAAAUCCCCGGGCUCAACUCGGGAACUGCGACCGAUACUGCGUUGGCUUGAGGACGGUAGAGGCUAGUGGAACUAGCGGUGUAGCGGUGAAAUGCGCAGAUAUCGCUAGGAACGCCGGUGGCGAAGGCGACUGGCUGGGCCGAUCCUGACGCUGAGGCGCGAAAGCCAGGGGAGCGAACCGGAUUAGAAACCCCAGUAGUCC